rnacentral:rRNA from 1 species
AUACGGAGGGUGCAAGCGUUAAUCGGAAUUACUGGGCGUAAAGCGUGCGUAGGCGGCUUAUUAAGUCAGAUGUGAAAGCCCCGGGCUUAGCCUGGGAACUGCAUUUGAUACUGGUAGACUAGAGUAUGGUAGAGGGGGGUAGAAUUCCUAGUGUAGCGGUGAAAUGCGUAGAUAUUAGGAGGAAUACCAGUGGCGAAGGCGGCCCCCUGGACCAAUACUGACGCUGAGGUACGAAAGCGUGGGGAGCGAACAGGAUUAGAAACCCCGGUAGUCC